GGAAUAUUGGACAAUGGGCGCAAGCCUGAUCCAGCCAUGCCGCGUGGGUGAUGAAGGCCCUAGGGUUGUAAAGCCCUUUCGGCGGGGAAGAUAACGACGGUACCCGCUUAAGAAGCACCGGCUAACUUCGUGCCAGCAGCCGCGGGAAUACGAAGGGGGCUAGCGUUGCUCGGAAUCACUGGGCGUAAAGCGCACGUAGGCGGACUCUUAAGUCGGGGGUGAAAUCCUGGAGCUCAACUCCAGAACUGCCUUCGAUACUGAGAGCCUUGAGGCCGGGAGAGGUGAGUGGAACUGCGAGUGUAGAGGUGAAAUUCGUAGAUAUUCGCAAGAACACCAGUGGCGAAGGCGGCUCACUGGCCCGGUACUGACGCUGAGGUGCGAAAGCGUGGGGAGCAAAC
rnacentral:rRNA from 1 species